rnacentral:rRNA from 1 species
CUCUUUCUUGAUUUUGUGGGUGGUGGUGCAUGGCCGUUCUUAGUUGGUGGAGUGAUUUGUCUGCUUAAUUGCGAUAACGAACGAGACCUUAACCUACUAAAUAGUGCUGCUAGCUUUUGCUGGUAUAGUCACUUCUUAGAGGGACUAUCGAUUUCAAGUCGAUGGAAGUUUGAGGCAAUAACAGGUCUGUGAUGCCCUUAGACGUUCUGGGCCGCACGCGCGCUACACUGACGGAGCCAGCGAGUAUUAACCUUGGCCGAGAGGUCUGGGAAAUCUUGUGAAACUCCGUCGUGCUGGGGAUAGAGCAUUGUAAUUAUUGCUCUUCAACGAGGAAUUCCUAGUAAGCGCAAGUCAUCAGCUUGCGUUGAUUACGUCCCUGCCCUUUGUACACACCGCCCGUCGCUACUACCGAUUGAAUGGCUUAGUGAGGCCUCCGGAUUGGUUUAAAGAAGGGGGCAACUCCAUCUUGGAACCGAAAAGCUGGUCAAACUUGGUCAUUUAGAGGAAGUAAAAGUCGUAACAAGGUUU